AUGCUGUGCCUCGCCUCCUCCUCCUCCCUGCCCUCUCUCCGGCCGCGAACCUCUCCCACUGCCGACCGGCCCGGUCCGGGGAACUCGGUGAGCAGAGAUCUGUUCUGUUUUAUUCUUUUAACGUUCUCCUUUAUGCUUGCCCAUGGCGAGGUUCUUGACGGCCCUGAUGCGACGAUGCUGACCGGUCGCCUGCAGGGCGGCGGCGGCGCCGGCGGCAGUGUGCGGCUGAGCGUGGUGUCCGUGCCGUCUUCGCUUCGCUGGUCGUGGCCACUGAAGGCCAAUAGCAAGAUUUCUGUUCCCGAGACUGCGCGGGAGAACAAAACUGUGGCAACAGAAGAUGGUGUCAGCCACCUUCCAAUAUACGAUCUGGACCCGAAGUUGGCCGAAUUCAAGAACCACUUCAACUACAGGAUGAGAAGGUAUCAUUACCAGAAACAUUUGAUUGAGAAACAUGAGGGAAGCCUUGAAGAAUUCUCCAGAGGCUAUUUGAAGUUUGGGAUCAAUGCAGAACCUGGUGCGACUGUAUACCGGGAAUGGGCCCCUGCAGCAAUGGAAGCACAACUUGUUGGUGACUUCAACAACUGGAAUGGUUCUGAGCACAUGAUGACAAAGGAUAAUUUUGGCGUCUGGUCAAUCAAGAUUUCUCAUGUCGAUGGGAAACCUGCCAUCCCUCACAAUUCCAAGGUUAAAUUUCGAUUUAGGCACGAUGGAGUAUGGGUUGAACGGAUUCCUGCAUGGAUUCGUUAUACAAUUGUUAAUACCUCUAAAUUUGGAGCUCCAUACGAUGGUGUUCAUUGGGAUCCACCAACUAGUGAAAGGUAUGUGUUUAAGCAUCCCCGGCCACGAAGGCCUGAUAUUCCACGUAUCUAUGAGGCGCAUGUGGGGAUGAGUGGUGAAAAGCCUGAAGUAUACAGAGAAUUUGCCGACAAUGUGUUACCACGCAUAAGGGCAAAGAACUACAACACAGUCCAGCUUAUGGCAAUCAUGGAACAUUCCUACUAUGCUUCUUUUGGGUAUCACGUGACAAAUUUCUUCGCGGUUAGCAGCAAAUCAGGCACUCCAGAGGACCUCAAAUAUCUUGUUGACAAGGCACAUAGUUUAGGAUUGCGUGUUCUAAUGGAUGUUGUCCAUAGCCAUGCAAGCAAAAAUGUGACAGAUGGUCUAAAUGGCUAUGAUGUUGGACAAAGCGCACAAGAGUCAUAUUUCUACGCAGGAGACAGGGGCUAUCAUAAACUGUGGGAUAGCCGCCUGUUCAACUAUACCAAUUGGGAGGUCUUAAGAUUUCUUCUUUCCAAUCUGAGAUAUUGGAUGGACGAAUUCAUGUUUGAUGGCUUCAGAUUUGAUGGGGUCACAUCCAUGCUAUACAAUCACCAUGGAAUCAAUACGUCGUUCACUGGAAAUUAUAAGGAGUAUUUUGGUUUGGAUACAAAUGUAGAUGCAAUCAUUUAUAUGAUGCUGGCUAACCAUUUAAUACACAAACUCCUGCCAGAAGCAACUAUUAUUGCUGAAGAUGUUUCAGUCAUGCCAGUUCUUUGUCGGCCAGUUGACGAAGGUGGAGUAGGGUUUGACUAUCGCCAGGCUAUGGCUAUUCCAGAGAGAUGGGUCGACUAUUUGAAAAACAAAGAUGCCCAGGAAUUGUCAAUGAGUGGAAUAUCACAGACUUUGAAUAACAGGGACAAAGAUCAGGAUGCAAUUGAAACUACGAUUGCACAACAUACGACCCCAAGAUCAACAUUUGAUGCCGUUUCCGAGAUACCCUCCCACAUAAGUCCCACAAGCACCUUUGAACAUAAUUCCCAAUUAGAGACAAGCCCAUCGAAGUUGCCAAUUAUUCAAGCGCUUGAGGCUCUACUACUGGCUGAAAGACAGGGUGCAGCUGCACUCCGAGAUGCAACUGACAUCAUGAGGAGGCAAAUAGAGCAAUCAGAUGCACUCCUCACCAAAACCAAACAAGAGAUGGAUGAAGUUAGAAAGAAGCAAGCAAAGACCGACCAAAUUCUUAGGCUUCUAAUAUCUGGAGCUCAGGGUAAUCCCACUUCAUAA
rnacentral:rRNA from 1 species